GAUGAAGACGCAGCGAAAUGCGAUAAGUAGUGUGAAUUGCAGAAUUCAGUGAAUCAUCGAAUCUUUGAACGCACAUUGCGCCCCUUGGUAUUCCAUGGGGCAUGCCUGUUCGAGCGUCAUUUGUACCUUCAAGCUUUGCUUGGUGUUGGGUGUUUGUCCAUUCUCUUGCAGAGGGACUCGCCUUAAAGUAAUUGGCAGCCAGUGUUUUGGUUUUGAAGCGCAGCACAAGUCGCGAUUCAACGCUAUACGCCAGCUUCCACAAGCCUUUUUCACUUUUGACCUCGGAUCAGGUAGGGAUACCCGCUGAACUUAAGCAUAUCAAUAAGCGGAGA
rnacentral:misc_RNA from 1 species